AUUGAACGCUGGCGGCAUGCCUUACACAUGCAAGUCGAACGGCAGCGCGGGGCAACCUGGCGGCGAGUGGCGAACGGGUGAGUAAUAUAUCGGAACAUACCCUAGAGUGGGGGAUAACGUAGCGAAAGUUACGCUAAUACCGCAUACGCACUAAGGUGGAAAGUGGGGGAUUCGCAAGAACCUCAUGCUCAUGGAGUGGCCGAUAUCUGAUUAGCUAGUUGGUGAGGUAAAGGCUCACCAAGGCGACGAUCAGUAGCUGGUUUGAGAGAACGACCAGCCACACUGGAACUGAGACACGGUCCAGACUCCUACGGGAGGCAGCAGUGGGGAAUUUUGGACAAUGGGCGCAAGCCUGAUCCAGCCAUGCCGCGUGUGUG
rnacentral:rRNA from 1 species